AGACCCGAAACCCGGUGAUCUAGCCAUGGGCAGGUUGAAGGUUGGGUAACACUAACUGGAGGACCGAACCGACUAAUGUUGAAAAAUUAGCGGAUGACCUGUGGCUGGGGGUGAAAGGCCAAUCAAACCGGGAGAUAGCUGGUUCUCCCCGAAAGCUAUUUAGGUAGCGCCUCGUGAAUUCAUCUCCGGGGGUAGAGCACUGUUUCGGCUAGGGGGCCAUCCCGGCUUACCAACCCGAUGCAAACUGCGAAUACCGGAGAAUGUUAUCACGGGAGACACACGGCGGGUGCUAACGUCCGUCGUGAAGAGGGAAACAACCCAGACCGCCAGCUAAGGUCCCAAAGUCAUGGUUAAGUGGGAAACGAUGUGGGAAGGCCCAGACAGCCAGGAUGUUGGCUUAGAAGCAGCCAUCAUUUAAAGAAAGCGUAAUAGCUCACUGGUCGAGUCGGCCUGCGCGGAAGAUGUAACGGGGCUAAACCAUGCACCGAAGCUGCGGCAGCGACACUGUGUGUUGUUGGGUAGGGGAGCGUUCUGUAAGCCUGUGAAGGUGUGUCGUGAGGCAUGCUGGAGGUAUCAGAAGUGCGAAUGCUGA
rnacentral:rRNA from 2 species